rnacentral:rRNA from 3 species
UACGUAGGGUGCGAGCGUUAAUCGGAAUUACUGGGCGUAAAGGGUGCGCAGGCGGUUGAGUAAGACAGAUGUGAAAUCCCCGAGCUUAACUCGGGAAUGGCAUAUGUGACUGCUCGACUAGAGUGUGUCAGAGGGAGGUGGAAUUCCACGUGUAGCAGUGAAAUGCGUAGAUAUGUGGAAGAACACCGAUGGCGAAGGCAGCCUCCUGGGACAUAACUGACGCUCAGGCACGAAAGCGUGGGGAGCAAACAGG